rnacentral:lncRNA from 1 species
AUGAGAUUGCACUGCUGCUUGCAGUGAGGCUGCUGAAAUUUGAUUGACACAUAAAUAAAGAUCUCAAUGAGCCCUUGUAAUGGAUAUUGACGACAGUUGGUCCAUUGUAGGAGUAGGAUAUGCGUCAAGAUGGAAUCUAUUGAUCUUGAUAGAAAAAGAGUUGUCUUAUGAAAUUUGAGAGGCUAAGUUUGAGAAUUUGUGGUCACAGUAGUGUGAUUGAUGGAAAAAAAUUUUCAUAAAAAUCACAACUGAACUUGAGCUAAUCGAAUCUAUCAUAUGGCUAAUGAUUAAGAUUUGACGAUUUAUCUAUGACCUGCCAUCUAGUCGAGACUCACGAUAGAGGGACUGAAUCACAUGUUAACUAUACCUAGAGGUUCAUUUCAGUUCUACUGAGUUGCCACUACAUACUGCUUAGUGUCACUGAUGGUUUGUAAGAGCUCACUAGGAUUAUUCUGGAUCGACAAUCCUUGAUGAGUUAGAGUGAAAUUAUUCCGACCCAUUAAAAAAAGUUUCAAUGAUACUUUGAUGGAGAUCAUUGUAUAUCUCACUACCAGAUAGAAUUAAAUCUAUGGAGUCACACAACAAAGGGAUUAGAUCUGGAAUAAGCAAUUGAGCUUAUGAAGUGUCAGUUGAGUUUAGAGAAAUCCGAUUGGGUUCAAGGUAACCUUGCAGCACAUGGUUGAACCCAAUUUCUCUUUUCGUUUGAAUUUUUUAUUUGAUAAGAUAAUUUAAAUUUAAUUACCUAUUAAUAACCUAAAUGAAUAAAAUUCAUUAGACUCUAAUUAUUGGGUGUGUAAGGUUUUGGAUCAUAUGAAUUAAGGGUGAAGUCCCUUAUUAAUUUUCUUAAUAGUUAUUAUAGGGUGCCACCUUGAUUGGAUCAAGUUGGGCAUGUCCUAUGAUUAGAGGGCCUUUUAAUUUCAUGUGGGAUGUCUUUUGGGUGUAAAAGAGGGUGUGAAAUAAUGGAUGCAAGGGCUUUAAGAGUUGGCACCUAAUAGGAUUCCUAAUGUAAGUUGAAUAACUUAAGUUAUUAGGAAACCUAAUGCAAGUAGAAUUUUUAUUAUGAGAUUGAAUAGGAUUCAAUCCUCAUGCUUAUUUAAAGAAACCUUCUCUAAGAUCCCUAGAGCAUCCAACCAGUAGCCCACACCCACCUUUGGAGACCCCCC